rnacentral:tRNA from 1 species
CAAAGGGUAGUUUAAUUAGAAGAUUCCGGUUUUGGGGACCGGAGAUGAAGGUUUGAUUCCUUCUCUUUUGAU